AAGCCAAGAUUAAGGAAAUUAUAUAGAUCCUUAUAUCUCUCCCAAGCUUCAUAGAGACUCUCAUCAUCCCUUGGUCUGAAAGAAGUUAAUUCAUUUCUCAAUUU